GCCCGCAUAGAUCAGUGGUUAGCUCGCCUUGCAAAUUUGUGCUGAAAAACUUCAAAAUAUAUGGAAGAGACGGAGGUUCGAUUCCUCGUGCGGGCA